CAGACAUACUCGCACUGCACGAGUAUAAAAUAAAUAAAUAAAUAAUUUUGGAAUGACUUAUAAAGAUGUUAAACGCGUGUUAUCGACAUGAAAUAACAUUCGUGAUUUUUAUUUGUAUAGAUCCGUCGGACCAACUGAUAUGAUAUCAAUAAAUGUUCCAGUGCUUUUCAUCGGAGUCGCAUAAAACUCGAGAAAUUCACAUUUACAACUCAAUACGCGUUCAAUAUAUCGAAUUGGUGCACGAGCUUCGGUAGGACGCGUCGUUGAAUAAACACGUAGUUGUCUGUAUGCGUUUGAUGGAUGACAGAUAGUCCGGCCGGAGACAUGAGACGGAUUCGUCGUCGGAAUGAUUGACGAUGGCGCGUAGAAGAAACGCCUGGAAAUCGGCGGUGGCAGAAAAACCCGCGGUGUCAGGUUCGACCGAUCGCCGAGCAUAGAUAUUCGAGGGGACGGAGAGGCGGAGGGACUCGAAGAGAUAUUAUUUCGCCAUCGCAUUAGAAUCUGUACGAGAGUGUGAAACCAGAGGGGGGGGGCAAAAACAGUGAUCGGCCGAAACGGCUGAGAUGGCCAACGGCAGCGGCGGCGGCGGCGGGGGUGGCGGCGGCGGCGGCGGGUUCGAGGCGCUGCAAAACGUCGCGCCCAACGUGUUUCCGCCCAUAUACAUACCGGCCGGGCCCGAAUCCAACGGCACGAACGCCAUCAACUACAGCGAUGCCAUCGAGCGGGAAUAUGUCGAGGACUACGUUUUCCAGUCCGCUUUCUCGUUCGUCUAUCUGCUCAUAUUCACGUUGGGCGUGUUCGGCAACGUGCUGGUCGUGUACGUCGUGUGGGCCAACAAGCACAUGCGCACCGUCACCAACAUAUUCAUCGUCAACCUGGCCGUGUCCGACAUCAUGCUCUGCGGGCUGGCCGUGCCGUUCACGCCGCUCUACACGUUCACCGGCCAUUGGAUGUUUGGUGAGAUAUUCUGCCACAUAGUCCCAUACGCCCAGGGCACCAGCGUGUACACUUCCACGUUGACGCUGACGUCUAUCGCCAUCGAUCGGUUCUUCGUCAUCAUCUACCCGUUUCAGCCGAGGAUGACCAUAUGGACAACGGCGCAAAUAAUCGCCACCAUAUGGAUAUUCUCGUUGGUGGCCACGCUGCCAUAUGGCAUUUACAUGGCCAACAAGGAGAUGUACGGCAAAGAUUUUUGCGAGGAGACGUGGCCGCAAGAGACGUUCAGAAAGAUUUUCGGUGCCAUUACCGCCAUCCUGCAGUUCGUCCUGCCGUUCCUGAUCAUAGCGUUCUGCUACGUCCGAGUGUGGCUUAAACUUAACGACCGGGCCAGAUGCAAGCCCGGCACAUCGACGAAGAACGCAAGGCGGGAAGAAGUGGAGCGCGAGAGAAAGAGCCGGACUAACAGGAUGUUGAUAGCCAUGGUGACAAUAUUCGGCGUGUCUUGGCUUCCGCUGACCGCCAUCAACCUGCUGAACGAUUUCUAUCUGCAGACUGCCACGUGGAAACACUACUACCUGUUCUUCUUCUCCGCCCACGCCGUGGCCAUGAGCUCCACGUGCUAUAACCCGUUCCUAUACGCGUGGCUGAACGAGAACUUCCGAAAAGAGUUCAAACAGGUGUUGCCCUGUUGGCGCAACGGUUCCGGUUACGGUGCGGCCGGAGCGGACGUUGGACAGGGACGACGGGGCCGCGUCGGCGGUUACCGAUCAGAGCGGACGUGCAAUGGCAACGACACGUGCCAGGAAACUCUGUUGCCAACGUCCAUUGUGCUGCCGUCCGGCCGGACCACCGCCACUACAGACUGCACCGGACUCGAUCUCGUGGACGGAUUGAUGAUGGGUGAUCAAGAGGACAAUCAAGAUGCCGUCGAAGUGAUGUUGGUUGCGUAUACACGUGAGGACGGUAUUUCUGGUCGUUCUAGUAAUUUACAACAAAACUCCGUUAAAACCCAAGUGUAAACAUCUCAAUGUCAUCUCACCAUGUGCUUAAUAGAUAGAGCUCAACUUUAAUAAACAUUUAUCAAGACACUAAUGAUGGUUCAAUACGAUUGCAAUUUCCGCCACAAACUACUUUACGCCUAGCCCAAAAAUAUAAGACUAAUAGUUGCCUAAGAAACAUUAUAUAGAUGUAAUUAAAAUGUUAAUACUAAAUUUAUUAUCCAUAAUUCUUAUCCAAUAUUAUAUUAAAGUGUAAUAAGUAUAGCGUUUGGAUCAAUUAACUGUGCGUGUGAUGUGUAUAAACAAAAGUGUAUUUAUUACCACUUUCUACCAAUUUAA